rnacentral:lncRNA from 1 species
CCCGCACUCAAUAAAACAGUCCAGUUUUGUUACAAAAAUACAAGCCCAAUUACCAAACAAAAUUCAAAGCCCAAAAUCAACCCAAUCCAAUUACAAACCCUAGCCCAACAAAGAAAAAACAAAACAACAAAAAAACCUAGCCCCUUUGUCCAGUGCUGCACGCCAGCUGCCUACGCUGUACUACCACCGCGUGCCAGCAUACCACUCCAGCUCUCUUCCGUACCUGCGAAAAAAUAGACAAACAACAGCAGAGAAUAGCAGCACAUAAGAACAAAAGAACAAAAAAAAAGAAAAUUGUUGUAGUUAAUAUUCGGCUAUAAAGCCAUGAACAACCUCUUUGUAUUUUUACGCGCACAAUAGCAAUAAAAAAUCAGAGUGCAAAGUUAAAAAAAAAAAGGUGCUUCUUUUAGUUUUUUGAAAUAAGUAGAGAAACAUUAGAAACCUUACCGAUCGAUUUUGCUUUCCCCUCCGUCAAACGCUGCCAAUAUUCGAAAACCUAAUAACCCAUAGGGGUUCUAAUGAGGUUUCAAAUGGCGUGGAGGUUGCUGUGUUUUCAUUUGCUUUUUUUCCCUUCUAUUUCUAAACCAAAUUGAUUUUAAAAUUUUUUAGCGUCUUUAAAAAAGAAAUGGGGACAAGAGGGAUCAAAGGGGGGUUGAAAAGGGUUGAUUUUGGAUACCCCGGCCGCCAUCUACUGCGGAGCUACAGCGGAACCACAGCUGAGGCUCGCCGUGCCCCUUAGCUAGAUUCUAGGUUUCCC